UUAGCAGUGAAUACAGUUCUAUCACAAUUUGCGGGAUUUCAAUACAAGAAUGGGUACCUAACAACGCAAAGUAGUUCUACACAGAUUUUCUUGUCACACACAAGUGAUAAGAUUUUGAAUUGUCAGUAGUUCAUUUUUGAUUGUGUUAUUUCUAUCGUAUAUUAUUUGCAUGUUUUCAGGAUAUAAUCAGUAAAAAAUAUCAUUAGUAUUCAUUCGCGUUAACUUUGAGUAAGGAAGUAGUUCGUACCAAAACAAAGUUUUCGACGCUAUUAUUGUAUGUGAAAGCUGAUCUCAUCAUUUUCUAAAAGUAGGUACAGAAAACUUACCAAUAUUAUUUGAACUUAAUGUAAUCUGUUUUGGAAUUCUUAUUUGGAUUUCAUGAUGUGUAACAGUGUUGAUAAUUCAGGUGUCUUGAUAUAUUUUUUUGUUGUUUGAGUUGUUUCCCUUGGUUUCCCGCAAUAUCAUUAGUUUUGUCUAUGUUUAAGCGGCUUUGUUUGUAAAAAGUUCAAAGUGUUCUUAAUUUAUUGGAAAUAUGGAUUAUUGAUAGUUGAAGUUACAGCAGAGAGAGAGUUUGACAGUAUGCGUGUUUGAAGAAGAUAAUGCUAUUAUUGGUACAUUCAAUUCCACGAACUGAGUGUUGAUUUCCUCGAUUUCAUUGACUCGAUGAUUCAUUCUCUGAUUGAUGAUUGUUGAUUGAAUGUUCUAAUGAUCAAUCAACUUAUUGAUUUACUGAUUGAUUGGACAUGUCAUGGAGCUUAAUAUAGAUGGAAAAGUAACUUAGACGUCAUACAGUUAAAUUCAGUAUUAUUGGGGUUGUUCUAACGCAAGUUAUCAUGUGUUUCGGGAUUUUCCAAGAUUUGAUGCAUCCUGGGUAAUAGUAGCCAAAAUACCGCCAUAUUGAAUUCCAAGAGGAACAUUGACAAAAAAAGACGAAGCAUUUUCUACUUACAUAAGAAGCAAUAGUUAUUUUUAUGUUAAAACGUACCAUACACACUUUUCCACACAGAUAUUUCUCAAAAAAAAAAAAACAAUGUCGGCAAUGUAAACAGUAGUUCAUGGAUAUCGCCGAAGUUUAACGAGAGUGCGAGAAUCGGGGACUAGUGGGAAAACCCGAUUAUCACCGAAGCGCACUGUGGAUCUGAAUCUGACUAUCAACUAUUUUCUGAGCUUCCUAUCCAUUGUAUAUAUAUCUGUGGACAUGUAAGACGAAUAUAUGUGAACUGUAAGAUGUUGAAAUGUGCAAAGUUGUUUGUUUAGAAGAGAAAUACACAAUUUUUGGAGAAACUUUUUGUUUGAAUGAUCAAGGUGUAAACACUUUUUGUAAUUGAACAUCAGGUUACCAUUUUCAUAGUAAUGGCAGGGCUUCCAUUAAUGGAAGUUUGGGAGUCAUUUCACUCCUUGAAUUUGGCUUGUGACUUCCAAAAUGUAAUGCUUUUUUCUUCUUUACCAAUAUUUUGUGACUUCCAAUGUCAAGACAUUUUGCAGUCUUUGACUUCCAAAUUUUGGAUCUUAAUGGAAGCCCUGAAUGCCAAUGGACCUACAUGUUUCACCUAAAUUGUAUUGGAAAUAUGUGAAAAACUUCCUUUUAAAAAGUUUCUAGCUGAAGUUAAGCAGAGAAAUGCAUUGGAUACCUCAGAAUAUUGCUAUGUUGUUAAAAAAUGUCCAAGCCUUAUGGUCACAUAUUCAUGGAAAAAUUCAAAGAAAGGAAAAUAGAUUGCCAGGUGUAUAGAUUUCCAGUCUGCUUAUCAUUUACAUACAAUCUGGAAAACUUCAGUAGUGUCACUGGGGUCAAAAUUAACCUGUCUAAUGGUAAUGUUGUAAAAAGUUCUAUUUUUUUGUUUAAAGCAUAAAGUUUAAUGUAUAUAUGUAUUAUAAUAGAAAUUAGAUAUAUGUAUGGAUAUUUUGUGUAAACCAACAUGUGAAAACCCUGGAACAUCAUUGCUAAAGCAAUAUUGUUAGGUACAAUACCAUACAUUUAAUAGGCAAGAAAGGUACGGUAAUAAUAUUAUUUACUAUAGAUUUAGAAUGCAAGAAAAGAUAAAAUAUCAUUCCUCGCUUCUUAGUACAAAAAGUGCCAUAUCACUUUUAUAUUUAUAUUAAUGUUUACUGCAUAAAACACUUUCUUACUUUUCAUUUUUAGCUAGACUAUACAAAGUAUAGGAGAGCCGUCCUACUUGCCCAAGCGUCCGCGUCCUUAUUCAGAUUAAAGUUUUGGUUUUCCAUAUCAUCAACCACAUCUUAUGUGACAAGGUUCAUAACUCUAGCACCACUAUUUUCAGAUUUAUCUCCCCUUGAACUUAGAAUUUUCCUUAAAAAAUAUUAUUUUCUAUCGUUACUUCCUUAUUUCUUAAGGGAUCAACUUCAUACUUCAAAUAUAUGUUCCUUAUCAUCAACCACAUCUUAUGUGACAAGGUUCAUAGUUUAGCGCGGAGGAAGGUAGUCUAGUACUGGUUUAACUCUCCAGGAACGAUGGUUAGGAAACUACCCGCCUAUAUGACUGAAAUACUGUUGGAAAAAGGCGUAAAAUGAAACAAACAAACAAACAAACUCUAGCACCAAUAUUUUCAAAUUUAUCUCCUCUUGAAGAUAGAAUUUUCCUAAAAAAAGUUAUUUUUUAGCUCGACUAUUCGAUAAGAAUAAGUAGAGCUAUUGUAGUCACCAGUGCGUCAGUGUUGGUGUCGGCGUCUGUGUCAGCGUAGGUGUAAUAACUUAUGUUAAAGUUUUUGUAAUACCUCAAAUAUUUUCAAAGUCCAUUGAUAUAUGGCUUUGAAACUUUGCACACUUGUUCACCAUCAUGACCCCAACUUGUAGACAGGAGGAGAUAACUGGAUCAAGCAUUUUGACAGAAUUAUGCCCCUUUUCUGACUUAGAUUUUAUGUU